AGCGAACGCUGGCGGCAGGCCUAACACAUGCAAGUCGAACGAACUCUUCGGAGUUAGUGGCGGACGGGUGAGUAACACGUGGGAACGUGCCUUUUGGUUCGGAAUAACUCAGGGAAACUUGUGCUAAUACCGAAUGUGCCCUUCGGGGGAAAGAUUUAUCGCCAUUAGAGCGGCCCGCGUCUGAUUAGCUAGUUGGUGAGGUAACGGCUCACCAAGGCGACGAUCAGUAGCUGGUCUGAGAGGAUGACCAGCCACACUGGGACUGAGACACGGCCCAGACUCCUACGGGAGGCAGCAGUGGGGAAUCUUGCGCAAUGGGCGAAAGCCUGACGCAGCCAUGCCGCGUGAAUGAUGAAGGUCUUAGAAUUGUAAAAUUCUUUCACCGGGGACGAUAAUGACGGGACCCGGAGAAGAAGCCCCGGCUAACUUCGU
rnacentral:rRNA from 1 species